rnacentral:tRNA from 1 species
GGGAGUAUAGCUCAGUGGUAGAGCAUGUGCUUAGCAUGCACAAGGUCCUUGGUUCAAUCCCCAGUACCUUUA